rnacentral:lncRNA from 1 species
CACUAGGAAUUAAAAGGUAAUAUGGUUAUCCUUUAACAUAACUAAUAGUACCAUGGAUAAAGCGUCAGCUAAAGCACGAGCAGCUUAUUUUAGCAAAUUAAGCAUUCACGUGCAUGUCGCAUGCGUGCACCGCUCAGGCCUGAGUCAGGCAACGCGAGCGACCAUGCAUGAUUAUCUAGUUCUCUCUUACAUCAUUGCUCAAAUUGCUAAGAGACCGUUCU